rnacentral:rRNA from 1 species
UACGUAGGGUGCGAGCGUUAAUCGGAAUUACUGGGCGUAAAGCGUGCGCAGGCGGUUUCUUAAGCCAGACGUGAAAUCCCCGGGCUUAACCUGGGAACUGCGUUUGGAACUGGGAGACUAGAGUACGGCAGAGGGAGGUGGAAUUCCACGUGUAGCAGUGAAAUGCGUAGAGAUGUGGAGGAACACCGAUGGCGAAGGCAGCCUCCUGGGCCUGUACUGACGCUCAUGCACGAAAGCGUGGGGAGCAAACAGG